rnacentral:lncRNA from 1 species
GGUCCGGGGUUAUAUCAGGUCACAGUCCGGACUCGCCUAAUAUUAAUUUGUUGAUUCUAAGGUAAACGUCUUUUAUUAAUGUUUCCGACGACAAUACAAUAAGGAAAAAGUUGAAUGAAUAAAAAUGAAUAAGUUCGUCUCAUCAAAUAAUGUGUGAAGUUUUAUAUCUCUAUCGAUGUCUAUAGUUUGCGAAUACACCUAGUCCGGGGUUACUUCAGGUCACCAUCCGGACUCGCCUAUUACAUUUAAUUUUUUCGUUAAAUGUCGGAUAAAUAUCUUAUAACUUUCUUAUGUAUUACAUGCUUGAUCAAAUGUCCCGUCAAUAUACUUUACGACAAUAAACAGUUUACAUACAGUUAGUCGUCGUAAUGCAAUACACGCAGGUAUAGUAAACUUCAAGCUAGUCCGGGGUCAUGUCAGGUCACAGUCCGGACUCACCUGUUCAAGAAUGUGUAUUACAUUGUUGAACGCCGCUUAA